UACGGGGGGGGCAAGCGUUGUUCGGAAUUACUGGGCGUAAAGGGCUCGUAGGCGGCCAACUAAGUCAGACGUGAAAUCCCUCGGCUUAACCGGGGAACUGCGUCUGAUACUGGAUGGCUUGAAUCCGGGAGAGGGAUGCGGAAUUCCAGGUGUAGCGGUGAAAUGCGUAGAUAUUUGGAGGAACACCGGUGGCGAAGGCGGCAUCCUGGACCGGCAUUGACGCUGAGGAGCGAAAGCCAGGGGAGCAAACGGG
rnacentral:rRNA from 1 species